UAGGGAAUUUUCGUCAAUGGGGGCAACCCUGAACGAGCAAUGCCGCGUGAGCGAAGAAGGUCUUCGGAUUGUAAAGCUCUGUUGCCGGGGAAAACGGAAGGAAAGAGGAAAUGCUUUUCUUUGGAUGGUACCCGGCCAGAAAGUCACGGCUAACUACGUGCC
rnacentral:rRNA from 1 species